AAAGGGCGCGUAGGCGGAAUGCUUUGUCGGGCGUGAAAUUCCAGGGCUUAACCUUGGGACUGCGUUCGAGACGGGUAUUCUAGAGUGGAGAAGAGGGUCGUGGAAUUCCCAGUGUAGAGGUGAAAUUCGUAGAUAUUGGGAAGAACACCGGUGGCGAAGGCGGCGACCUGGUCUUUUACUGACGCUGAGGCGCGAAAGCGUGGGGAGCAAACAGGAUUAGAUACCCUAGU
rnacentral:rRNA from 1 species